GCGUCCGUAGCUCAGCUGGAUAGAGCACCUGGCUUCGAACCAGGGGGUCGUGGGUUCAAGUCCUGCCGGGCGCGCCA
rnacentral:tRNA from 2 species